rnacentral:lncRNA from 1 species
GCCAGAAUAACCUGUUAUCUUCAUAAGUUGAUUUUUUUUCAUGUAUUUGCUUCAGUGAUGGAAAGCUGACUAACACACUGAUCUUGGUCUGCUCCUACCUGGAGAGAAGAUACAGUUUAAGUCCAAGGUAAGAAAAUUUCCUCUGGUGGGCAUUGGCUAUCCAUUUACAAAAUGGU